CUCAUUGGGACGGAGGGGAGGGUUUCCCCCUGCCUCAGUACGGUCAUUGGCUAGUCUGGUGAGGAAAGAGGAAAGAGUCUUCUCGGUAGCUGCUCCCAGGUUGUGAGAUUCUCUUUGUGGGAAGGGGUAAAGCAGUCCUGCACACCUUCCUUUCACUGGUCAUCCUAGUGCAUGGCUCAUGGGAAGCCGAGCCAAGUUCCCCUGCUGCUGUGCCUAGUGUUUGGCAAUCAUCACACCCAC
rnacentral:lncRNA from 11 species